ACGAUGAAGAGUUUGAUCCUGGCUCAGGAUGAACGCUAGCGGCAGGCUUAACACAUGCAAGUCGAGGGGUAGAAGUCUUCGGACUUUGAGACCGGCGCACGGGUGCGUAACG
rnacentral:rRNA from 1 species